ensembl:snoRNA
AUCCUUUUAUAGUUCGUAAGGGUGAUUAUUGGGUGUUCAUGCCAUGGUGUGCCACGUGCCUCCCUCCAACCUCAUUAUAACCUCAGCACAUUACCCGUCAGGCG